rnacentral:rRNA from 1 species
CCUACGGGAGGCAGCAGUGAGGAAUAUUGGUCAAUGGGCGUAAGCCUGAACCAGCCAAGUCGCGUGAGGGAUGAAGGUCCUACGGGUCGUAAACCUCUUUUAUAAAGGAAUAAAGUGUGGGACGUGACCAAUUUUGUAUGUACUUUAUGAAUAAGGCUCGGGUAAUUCCGUGCCAGCAGCCGCGGUAAUACGGAGGAUCCGAGCGUUAUCCGGAUUUAUUUGGUUUAAAGGGUGCGUAGGCGGCUUUUUAAGUCAGCGGUGAAAGUUUGUGGCUCAACCAUAGAAUUGCAGUUGAUACUGGGUGGCUUGAGUACAGUUGAGGCAGGCGGAAUUCGUGGUGUAGCGGUGAAAUGCUUAGAUAUCACGCAGAACCCCGAUUGCGAAGGCAGCCUGCUAAGCCAUGACUGACGUUGAUGCACGAAAGCGUGGGGAUCAAACAGGAUUAGAUACCCUUGUAGUC